ACUAUUUUCAAAUAACAUUACAAACUGCUAAGUUUGACUAAAGCGAUGCAAUGUUUGCUGUAAUUUCGACAUUAAGUAUCACCUUUUGGGUCGCAAUAAGCUUCGCGUUGCUUGAAAGACGUGAUAAUGCUUAGUUUAACGUUCUGCUGAGCAUGACAAAGCCGUUGAGAAUACCCCUGGGACCACAAAUUAUUCAGAGUAUUUGUCUUGCAUGACAAAUUUCUUUCUUUCGCAAGCGCGUCGUUGAGCUGGCCGCGUCGUAG
rnacentral:lncRNA from 1 species